CUUUCUCUAAAUUUUCUCGGACUUUUCUCUAAGCUCCCACACUCAUCUCUUCUAUUUUUCAAUCAAAGACCAACUUUGAGCUCACAGUGGAGAACUCUACGUAUCCAUUUGAUUGGAAUAGAGAGCUCGGGGAGCAUUAGAGCUGGGCGCUUGGGACUACCACUAGGCGUUGUUGGGGAUUUUUUAUGACAGUGGUCAUUGGAGCUGGUGGCACUGGGCGCUACGUUUUUAUCGUCAGGUGUUACCUUAUGCUGAUAAAUUUAUGCUAAUUAUGUUGAGAUUGUUUGAAUUUAUCUUGAUUAUAUGAUUUUCUAAGUAGG
rnacentral:sRNA from 1 species